CUGGUUACACGCGCGAGCAGCAGCUCCAGGCCUUCCUCCCCCGAUUCUCUUUUUUUACAUUCCCUGAUUCCCUCCCUCCCCCGACUGCUCCAAGCCCGAUCCAAUCGAUGCCCUUCCAUAACCUAGCUGCUAGCUCCCUCCCCCGAUUCAGUCUCCCCUAGAUCCGGCUCCGGCGACCAGGCCGGCCCUCUCCUGCCUCCCUCGCCCCUCGGACCUCGGUCCCCUCCCCUCCAUGCUCCGGCUGGCCCUCUCUGGCUCAGGCUCUCCCUCCCCUGCCGGCCUGCCCUCGCCCAUUCGCCCUCCGGCUUCAGCGGCGACGCGGCUCCGGCGCUCCGCCAGGCGCCAGUCCGCCUCCGGCCUCCCCUGCUCUCCGGACCCCGGCCCAAGUAGGCGCCCAUCGUGGCAGCGGGCCAGCACCCUUAUGCUCACCUCCGCCCCCGGUCUACUGAAGUGGUGUCGCGUGAACGUCGACUACAUGACACAUUACCAUGCUUGAGCCUAGGGGAAAGCAUCGCGGGAUUGGUAAGUACUCCCUCCGUCCGAAAAUACUUGUCAUCAAAAUGGAUAAAGAGAGAUGUAUAUAGAACUAAAAUACAUCUAGAUACAUUCCCUUUUAUCUAGUUUGAUGACAAGUAUUUUCGGACAGAGGGAGUAGAUGAUAGGUUGCUAGAGUGAUAGAAGCUUAAACCCUACAUUUAUGCCCCUAAUUUGCGUCCACUCUAAGAUUUACCCCAAACUUUUUCAUGUGUUCAAAUUUGCCCCUAAAAAGCAUUUAGGUCACAGGAAUGCCCUUACAAUUGGUCAAAGUUGUUUGACCCAGACUUUGGAAAAUCAUAACAAAUUCAUAUGAACUCAGAAGAAUGCAAAUAAGAUAUUAAAAUGUUCAUAAAAAUACCACAUAUAUGCACAUGUCAUUUACGCUCAUCGCCUACACAUGCAUUUAUUUGCAUUCACCCUAAAUAGUGUUUUAAUGUUAUAAACCCUAAAAAGCUUUAAAGAGUGCUUUUUUCAUGAACGUAAAUGACAUGUGCAUAUAGGUUAUGUUUUUAUGAACAUUUUGAUAUCUUGUUUUGCAUUCUUCUGAGUUCAUAUGGAUUUGUUAUGAAUUUUCAAAGUUUUGGUCAGACAACUCUGACCAGAUGGAAGGGCAUAUUUGCGACCUAAAAUGUUUUUUAGGGGAAAAUUUGAGCACAUCAAAAAGUUAAGGGUAAAAUAAGUAGUGGGUUCAAGUUAGGGCCACAAAUAUGAAUGUCCCUUCGGUAAAGGGCUAAGUUGGAUCCAUAUGUUUCAUGUUAUAUAUGAUUAGAUUAAUCUUAA